CACCAAUAAGGCUUACAACAAAGUUAUAUUUAAGAUAUUUGUAUAUUUUGUUACUCCGUGUUGACCCAAGAACUUAUAUUUUUAUUGACUUCACUGGUUGGAAAGACAAAAAUAUCAUGAUAACCAGAUAUGAAACGUAUUUCUUGCUAUUAUUUGUUCCGAAGCUUAAGAUAUCGCUCCUUAUGGAUUAUUUAAAUUAACAAUAAAGUUGCUGAUCCAUUUAGCCAUGUAUAAUUAAAACUACCACCAGUAACGGUUGAAGAUUUAGUAAACUAAAUUUUGUCUUUAAGCCAAAAACACUUCAAUACGAUGUUCGUCAGCUAUACAAAACAUUUUAAAAAUUUCAUGGGGAUAAUACCGUAUAUACUUUUAAGAUAAAAUUGGUAUUUAACUGGUUAGUCGCGUAAAAGGGUUACAAACCACUUAAUAUACCUUAUUUUUAAUGGUGCAUUUCAAAAUUAGUUUCAUCUAAAGCAAAGGUAUACCGGGUAAAAAUGAUCUUUAUAAAUGGCUUACUAGUUUUGCGUUGUAGUUUU